rnacentral:rRNA from 1 species
AUGGCUCCAGCUUCCGCCUCCCUCCUCCCCGCCGCCGGCUCCAAGCGCCCCUUCGCCGCCGACUCCGCCCCCGACGCUGCUGAGCAAGAGCAGCCGCUCGCGCAGGUGAACUGUGGUGACCAGGAGAGCGCGGCGACCAAGAAGAACGGCCAGAGCCAGAGCGAGCAGCAGAAGCUGGAGUGCCCGCGGUGCAGCUCCACCGACACCAAGUUCUGCUACUACAACAACUACAGCACGGCACAGCCGCGCCACUACUGCCGCACCUGCCGCCGCUACUGGACGCACGGCGGCACGCUGCGCAAGGUCCCCGUCGGCGGCGCGUGCCGCCGCGGCUCCGGCGGCAACAGCAAGCGCCGCAGGUCCUCAGCCGAGCCCCACACGCCCUCGUCCGACUCGCCGCAGCCGGACCAGGACGCGGGCCACCCCGGCCCGGACCUGCCGCUCCCGGUCUUCCCGUUCCUCACCGACGGCGCCGUCUUCCUGCCGCAGUUCGACCUCGGGCUCGGCGUGUUACCGUGGACGACACCAGCAGCCACGGACCACCUCUACGACUGGCUCGCGGCGCCGUGGGGUGGCUGUGACGGGGCGCUCGCCCCCGCCGGCGCGUGGGACGACUUCGGCGGCCUCGAGCUCACCUGGCCGCCGCCGCUGCCGCCUGCCGGGAACUGA